AAAUCUUUCAACUUUUAAAUAUACAGCAAUAAAACAACGGGGGAUAUUUUGCCACUUCAUAUACCUGUAUAAUAUGGUCCAUUACCUUGUUUUAAAAUUGCAGAUUUCUCUAGGUUUAAAAGUUGUUUGGGAUAAUAUUACAGGUCUUGUUGGUUUCAAAAAUGUUAAUGCAUGAAUGUUACAUCGUAUACCUUUUUACAAAAGGAACACCUGUAGCUAUGCAAAUACAAAUGCUAUCAGCUCUUUAUAACUGCUGUAUUUCAACAGGAAGCUUCUGAUCCAUGUACAACUGGUUAAGAAAAGACUUAAGGCCACAAAUGGUGCAAAGCGGAACUCUCAAUGUGGGGGAAAGUUGGAAUCUUCAGCCUGCACAAGACCGCACUGCUUCCUCCAGAGGAACCUUAGACGGUGUCUCAGAAUGCCAAUGAAACAAAUGAAGAAGAACAGGGGGAAGAGGAGAAGAGUUGGUUCACAGGGUCGUCGUGUGGCGAAGCAGCAGCGUCUCCACAGCAACCAUCACCUCCAAAACAUCAGUGUUAGCAGCACUGAUGAGAGCAGCAUUCUCAGCGCUGGUUUGGAAGGUCAGAUUGAUCAAGAAGACAGCGAUGAAGAUGAAUCGAACACAAAUCUGACUGUUCAGUUGAUCCCCGCCAACGUUUCCCUGGAACCCACCGAGCCCAGAGAGCUCCCAUCCAAUCAGAAAGCAGUGAAAAAGGCGUGUGAAUUCAGAGUCUUGCUUGCCCAGUUGCGCAGCAACAGCAGCAUGGUCAUUAAAGAAAGUCGUUAGCUAAGUGACUCUGUUUUAUUUAAUAAAGCUUCAGGAAGGUAUUCAAGCCCUGAUGUAGCUUUUACUUGUUAAGUUUGUGGUUUAGCCCUCCUAUUUUCUCUGUUCUAAACAGCAGACUAAAUACUUGUUCUUGAUGUUUCUGAGUUUAGUAGACCACUGAUACAGUUCCACAUACUUGCAUGUUAUUUAUUUAUUGUUAGCAAGUAGUUUAAUUCAACACACAAUGUAUGCUGUUUUUACCCAAUCCCUAGAAUAGACUGACCAGACCAGUAGACAUACAUGAGUACCUUAGUAGGAUGAACUAUAUAACUAACUCAUGAUCCAUUUUAACAGACUAAUCCAAUGCUGUUUUGAGUUUGAAUGUGUGAAAGUAUAACGUGACAAAACAAAGUAUUCUAAAGAAUAAUCUAUUUUAGUGUUGUACCACAAUGCAGAUAGUAAGGAUUUUUGAUUCUUACAUAUUUUCUUAUAAUUGCAAAACUAUGUUUACAUUUAGUACGCAGUAUACAUUUGGGACACAUUAUAUCCUUGACCUGUCUGUAUAUAAAAAAAAAAGCCUGUUUACUAAGUAUGUUAAAUGCAAGACAGUUCCAAGUGGGGGGUGUGUAAACAUAAACUCUUUUCAGGUGUUGGGCAGUGUUGUUAGACGCACUCUGUUAAAGCCCACAUGGUGGCGCCACUUAAUAAAGGAAUCAGCACUGAAUACAGUA